rnacentral:rRNA from 1 species
AUGGCUCCUCUAUCUUGCGCAAAAAGUGCUUUUGAUGCUAUAGGUGUAUCCCCGUCAACAAUGCAGUGCCCAAUCCCUGAUGUUGGUUCUUCGCUAAUGCAAUCAGGCGGUCCUGAAAAGAAGUGCGAGCCCAAGGUUGUUGUCAAUGAUUUUCAAAAACCAAGUUUUGCUGAAUUCAGUCGCUCUCUUGGCGUUCAAUCACAUCCUGAAGAUUCUAUUGAACAACACAAAGUUAAAGAUGGUGUCUCUUAUGUUGGAGGAUUGUCCCCUCUGGUUCCUACUCGUUUGACGCAGAGGUUCCGUAAUGUGAUAGAUGAUGUUGAGUGCUCUCAGUAUAAUGUCGAAAGAUUCUUGAGUUCGAUUGAUCCUGCGAAAGAUGAGGAUUGCAUUGAAAUGGUGAACCUGCCUCCUUCUGAAGUUUCAAAGUCAAAUUUCUACUCAAGCCACCUUAAUGAUCAGGUAUGGUGCUUUUUCUUUGUGUUUUUGUUUAUUGAUUCUUUUUACCUUGCUUUUUGCAUUUUUAGUCUGCUCUUUUGGUCUCUGAUUCUCAGUAUAAACUAUUGCAUUGUGUGUGGCUGA